rnacentral:tRNA from 1 species
GCAGGUGUAAUUUAACGGCAAAACGGUUGCUUCCCAAGCAACACUCGAGGGUUCGACUCCCUUCACCUGCUCCA